GUGCUUGCUUCGGCAGCACAUAUACUAAAAUUGGAACUAUACAGAGAAGAUUAGCAUGGCCCCUGCACAAAGAUAACAUGCAAAAAAUCCCACCUGAGCAUGAUAUAC